rnacentral:rRNA from 1 species
CCUACGGGGGGCAGCAGUGAGGAAUAUUGGUCAAUGGGCGCGAGCCUGAACCAGCCAAGUAGCGUGAAGGAUGACUGCCCUACGGGUUGUACACUUCUUUUAUAAAGGAAUAAAGUGAGGCACGUGUGCCUUUUUGUAUGUCCUUUAUGAAUAAGGAUCGGCUAACUCCGUGCCAGCAGCCGCGGUAAUACGGAGGAUCCGAGCGUUAUCCGGAUUUAUUGGGUUUAAAGGGAGUGUAGGUGGGUUGUUAAGUCAGUUGUGAAAGUUUGCGGCUCAACCGUAAAAUUGCAAUUGAUACUGGCAGUCUUGAGUACAGUAGAGGUAGGCGGAAUUCGUGGUGUAGCGGUGAAAUGCUUAGAUAUCACGAAGAACUCCGAUUGCGAAGGCAGCUUACUAAACUGCAACUGACAUUGAUGCUCGAAAGUGUGGGUAUCAAACAGGAUUAGAUACCCUUGUAGUC